rnacentral:rRNA from 1 species
AUUGAACGCUGGCGGCAGGCCUAACACAUGCAAGUCGAGCGGAGCGGGCGACGGGUGAGUAAUGCCUAGGAAUCUGCCCGGUCGUGGGGGAUAACGGCGGGAAACGGGCGCUAAUACCACAUACUAUCAGAUGAGCCUAGGUCGGAUUAGCUAGCUGGUGGGGUAAAGGCCUACCAAGGCGACGAUCCGUAUCUGGUCUGAGAGGAUGAUCAGGCACACUGGAACUGAGAUACGGUCCAGACUCCUACGGGAGGCAGCAGUGGGGAAUAUUGGACAAUGGGCGAAAGCCUGAUCCAGCCAUGCCGCGUGUGUGAAGAAGGUCUUCGGAUUGUAAAGCACUGUAAGUUUGGAGGCGUUACCAACAGAAUAAGCACCGGCUAACUUCGUGCCAGCAGCCGCGGUAAUUC